GAGCCUAGGUGGUCUAAUGGUAAGGCGCUUGUAAGUACCUCUAGACCUUCAUCGGGGUGAGCUAACAUUUGGGUUGGCAAUAACUUUGAAAGGAGUGUGGAGACUCGAGAGAUCCGGGUUCGAAUCCCGGCCUAGGCAC
rnacentral:tRNA from 1 species